AGCGUAAUAGCUCACUAGUCGAGUCGGCCUGCGCGGAAGAUGUAACGGGGCUAAAACUAUGUGCCGAAGCUGCGGAUGUAUACUUUGUAUACGUGGUAGGGGAGCGUUCUGUAAGCCGAUGAAGGUGUGUUGAGAAGCAUGCUGGAGGUAUCAGAAGUGCGAAUGCUGACGUGAGUAACGACAAAACGGGUGAAAAACCCGUUCGCCGAAAGACCAAGGGNCCAAGGGUUCCAGUCCAACGUUAAUCGGGGCUGGGUGAGUCGACCCCUAAGGCGAGGCCGAAAGGCGUAGUCGAUGGGAAAAUGGUUAAUAUUCCAUUACUUCUGUGUAAUGCGAUGAGAGGACGGAGAAGGCUAAAUCAGCCUGGCGUUGGUUGUCCAGGUGAAAGGAUGUAGGCAUGUAUCUUAGGCAAAUCCGGGGUACUCUAUGCUGAGAUCUGAUAGCAAGCUGUACUUGUACAGCGAAGUGGUUGAUGCCAUGCUUCCAGGAAAAGUCUCUAAGCUUCAGUUACACAGGAAUCGUACCCGAAACCGACACAGGUGGUCAGGUCGAGUAGACCAAGGCGCUUGAGAGAACUCUGCUGAAGGAACUAGGCAAAAUGGUACCGUAACUUCGGGAGAAGGUACGCUGUUGUUGGUGAUGGAACUCGCUUCCUGAGCUGACGACAGCCGCAGAAACCAGGCCGCUGCAACUGUUUAUUAAAAACAUAGCACUCUGCAAACACGAAAGUGGACGUAUAGGGUGUGAUGCCUGCCCGGUGCUGGAAGGUUAAUUGAUGGGGUUAGCGUAAGCGAAGCUCUUGAUCGAAGCCCCAGUAAACGGCGGCCGUAACUAUAACGGUCCUAAGGUAGCGAAAUUCCUUGUCGGGUAAGUUCCGACCUGCACGAAUGGCAUAAUGAUGGCGGCGCUGUCUCCAGCAGAGGCUCAGUGAAAUCGAAAUCGCUGUGAAGAUGCAGUGUACCCGCGGCUAGACGGAAAGACCCCGUGAACCUUUACUGCAGCUUGACACUGAACUUUGACCUUACUUGUGUAGGAUAGGUGGGAGGCUUUGAAGCUGGAACGCUAGUUCCAGUGGAGCCGUCCUUGAAAUACCACCCUGGUAAUGUUGAGGUUCUAACUCUGUCCCGUGAUCCGGGACGAGGACCGUGUCUGGUGGGUAGUUUGACUGGGGCGGUCUCCUCCUAAAGAGUAACGGAGGAGUACGAAGGUGCGCUCAGCGUGGUCGGAAAUCACGCGUAGAGUAUAAAGGCAAAAGCGCGCUUAACUGCGAGACCCACAAGUCGAGCAGGUACGAAAGUAGGUCUUAGUGAUCCGGUGGUUCUGUAUGGAAGGGCCAUCGCUCAACGGAUAAAAGGUACUCUGGGGAUAACAGGCUGAUACCGCCCAAGAGUUCAUAUCGACGGCGGUGUUUGGCACCUCGAUGUCGGCUCAUCUCAUCCUGGGGCUGAAGCAGGUCCCAAGGGUAUGGCUGUUCGCCAUUUAAAGAGGUACGCGAGCUGGGUUUAGAACGUCGUGAGACAGUUCGGUCCCUAUCUACCGUGGGCGCUGGAAAUUUGAGAGGAUCUGCUCCUAGUACGAGAGGACCAGAGUGGACGAACCUCUGGUGUACCGGUUGUGACGCCAGUCGCAUCGCCGGGUAGCUAUGUUCGGAAGGGAUAACCGCUGAAAGCAUCUAAGCGGGAAGCCUACCUCAAGAUAAGAUUUCCCUAGGACUUUAUGUCCUCUAAAGAGCCGUUCGAGACUAGGACGUUGAUAGGUUGGAUGUGGAAGCAUAGUGAUAUGUGAAGCUGACCAAUACUAAUUGCUCGUGAGGCUUGACUAUACAACACCCAAGCAGUUG
rnacentral:rRNA from 1 species